CCUUCAACUAUCCUUUGGUAUUUCACAUGCCAGGCCCGCGUUGGUAACCGGACUGAGCAGUGUGACCAUCAGAAGACAGAGAGACAUCUGGACUACAGGACGGCAGAAAAGCAACCCUCCACGGAGGAGAACUGCAGAGCUGGAGAGCUUCUUUGGAACAGGGAAGAGAAUACCACCCAGUUGCUUUACCCCCUUGCACUGCCCAUAACUCAUUCUUUACCACUGACAAAUUCUGCUGCCUGAAGAGUACACAAACAUACUUGAGGAGUGCCUUUCCUGAUUCAGAAAGAUUUAUGGCUGUUUAUUUCCUCAUUCAUCCCAGCAAGGAGAGCAAAAUUUAAAGAGCAAGAGGUUGUCUUCCUCAGUGUGACUCCAGCUGCUGUUUUGGCAGGACUAUCACAGAUCUAUGCAAGAAGUGCUAUCUCGGAGGAGAGAGAAUUCUUUCCUGCACAAGAGAAGAAAAACCGUCUACAUUAGCCAUGGACCAACACGGUCACAGAGGAACAGGAAGUGGAAGAUAAGGACCAGGCUGUCACUAGAAUGGCUGAGACCUUAGGGACUGCAUGGGAACCAGAUAAAUGGACUGUCAGUCAUAUAAAUGCUCCUCACAAAGACUAUCCUCUGUGGAAUUGAAAACAUCUUUUAUAUCCAACAGAUAUGGACCCACCCAGUAUGUAUGCAAACAUGGAGGUCUUGUUCAUGUGAACUGUUGGUGCUCCUUUGAGGAGAAUGUAAUAUCUGAAUUAUGACAAUACUAAGCCAUUGACCAGGAUUUCACCAAUAAUUGCUCUCAUCAAAGUUUUUUCUUUGUAAACUAAAUUUAGACAGAUAAUCUUAGUUAUUCCUGACCUUGACAAACUGUAUUUAUAGAUACAAAAUUGACACCUUUAUUGUAAGUCAAAGUUAAUUAAAUAAGAAGCUAUUCUCCCUACAGUAAGUCUAUUAGAUAUAUGUUGGAAUGCAUUUCAUUAGGUGGCUAAGUUCUGUGUGUGGGGAAAUCAUUUCUGGUGAUGUGACAAGCAGGAAACUUAAGAUAAAGACAAUGAUAAUAGAGAAGAAAUGUCAAAUAAGCCAAAUUAUUUCAUUGUGCAGCUGUAUUAAGUUGUAUUUGAAUAUUAUAUAUUUACAAAAAUGAAUGUAUGCAAUGAGUGCAUAGUCUAUGGUCAUUGCAAUUGCAAUCAUUUCUGUGGGAAACCAUGAAAAGUGUGAAACUCUUGGUGCUAUAUAGAUACAGGAUAUCCCACAAUCCAGUAACUUGGUAAAUGGCCUACCUGCCAUCCUAGUCUUGGAAAUUGGCCUCUUUUGAUGUCAUAUUUGUGUAAAUUAAUCGUUUCCUUACAACAGUGAUAAAGUUGGCUGAAUACAUUUAGAUUCUGCCCUUCUGUCCUUAGUUACUGAGUUCCAGUUAUAUCAAAAGUAUGCCUAACAAAUAAAAGAAGCCACAGCAAAGAAAUCCACUGACCGAAUGUGUGGUCAGUGGAAACAGAUUAGUUUGUCAGACUGCCAGAUAGUAAAGCGUGAUUCAUCACUCCAGAGAACACGUUUCCACUGAUUCAGAGUCCAAUGUUGGAGUGAUUUACAUCACCCCAGCUGACGCUUGGCUUUGCGCAUGGUGAUCUUAGGCUUGUGUGCAGCUGCUUGGCCAUGGAAACCCAUUCCAUGAGGCUCCCAACAAACAGUUGUUGUGCUGAAAUUGCUUCCAGAGGCAGUCUGGAACUUGCUAGUGAGUGUUGCAACUGAGGACAGACAAUUUUUACAAGCUACGUGCUUCAGCACUCAGCGGACCUGUUCUGUGUGCUUGUGUAGCCUAUCGCUUCGUGGCUGAGCUGUUGUUGCUCCUAGACAUUUCUGCAAUAACAGCACUUAGUUGGCAGGGCAAAAAUUUGACAAACUGACUUGUUAGAAAGGUGGCAUACUGUGACAGUGAUAGGUUGAAAGUCAAUAUGACCCAUUCUACUGCCACUUCCUAUGGAGAUUGCAUGGCUGUAUGCUUGAUUUUAUGCAAUAGGUGUGGCUGAAGUAGCCAAAUACACUAAUUAGAUGGGGUGUCCACAUACAUUUGGCCAUAUCUAGUGUAGGUUGAUUCUUUGAACACUUUUUGUUAAAUAUUUGUUAAACAUUAAAUUGACAGAAUUUAUUGUUAAACUUAUUUUACCCACUUAUUUGUACAUUAUACUACCUGAUAGAAAAUGGAUGAAAAAGAAGCAGUCUGCAGUAGAGAAAUUGGAAUUCUGUACAAAAGAUGAACCAAGCCUCAGAUACUCCACAAUCCUUAUCAUUGAUCCUUUGUCAUACAGAUGAAUUCAAUAUUUUUUAAAUGCAGUGGAUGUGAAGAUACUAUUCAGGAAAAUCCAAAUCAAAAACACUAU